rnacentral:rRNA from 1 species
AGUAACGCGUGGGUAACCUGCCUCAUACAGGGGGAUAACAGUUGGAAAUGACUGCUAAUACCGCAUAAGCGCACAGUGCUGCAUGGCACAGUGUGAAAAACUCCGGUGGUAUGAGAUGGACCCGCGUCUGAUUAGCUAGUUGGUGGGGUAACGGCCUACCAAGCCGACGAUCAGUAGCCGACCUGAGAGGGUGACCGGCCACAUUGGGACUGAGACACGGCCCAA